AUGAUUUCCCAGCCGCUCCGCCCGUGUUUCACCGCAUGCUUAACUAUACCAGUUUCGGUAUAGCAACCAGCAAAGAUCGCAUUUGACAGUUAUGUCAAAGGGACACACCCUUCGCGCGUUCCGAGGCGCAGGGAUCGGCAACGAGCAAAAUCGUAUCGAUUGAAACUGCGUCGCGGGACCGAUUGGGAGGAUACCGGAGAUCGAUAAAGUCGACAGAGGCGCGAGAGCGCUCCUGUCCGACUGCGCGGCCCGCGAAGCCCCGAGGUGUCGCGUCCAUCAACCAGGGAGAGUAAU
rnacentral:ncRNA from 1 species